AUUGAACGCUGGCGGAAUGCUUUACACAUGCAAGUCGAACGGUAGAGGGGGCAACCCCUCGAGAGUGGCGAACGGGUGAGUAAUAUAUCGGAACGUGCCCAGUCGGGGGGGAUAACGUAGCGUAAGUUACGCUAAUACCGCAUACGAUCUAAGGAUGAAAGCGGGGGAUCGCAAGACCUCGCGCGAUUGGAGCGGCCGAUAUAAGAUUAGGUAGUUGGUGGGGUAAAGGCUCACCAAACCACAGAUCUGUAGCUGGUCGUAGAGGACGACCAGCCACACUGGAACUGAGACACGGUCCAGACUCCUACGGGAGGCAGCAGUGGGGAAUUUUGGACAAUGGACGCAAGUCUGAUCCAGCCAUUCCGCGUGCAGGAUGAAGGCCCUCGGGUUGUAAACUGCUUUUGUACGGAACGAAAAGGUCUCUCUUAAUACGGGGGACUCAUGACGGUACCGUAAGAAUAAGCACCGGCUAACUACGUGCCAGCAGCCGCGGUAA
rnacentral:rRNA from 1 species